rnacentral:rRNA from 1 species
AGUAAUACAUAAGUAACCUGCCCUAGGCAGGGGGAUAACUAUUGGAAACGAUAGCUAAGACCGCAUAGGUACGGACACUGCAUGGUGACCGUAUUAAAAGUGCCUCAAAGCACUGGUAGAGGAUGGACUUAUGGCGCAUUAGCUGGUUGGCGGGGUAACGGCCCACCAAGGCGACGAUGCGUAGCCGACCUGAGAGGGUGACCGGCCACACUGGGACUGAGACACGGCCCAG